GUAGUCCUGGCUGUAAACGAUGUCGACUUGGAGGUUGUGCCCUUGAGGCGUGGCUUCCGGAGCUAACGCGUUAAGUCGACCGCCUGGGGAGUACGGCCGCAAGGUUAAAACUCAAAUGAAUUGACGGGGGCCCGCACAAGCGGUGGAGCAUGUGGUUUAAUUCGAUGCAACGCGAAGAACCUUACCUGGUCUUGACAUCCACAGAACUUUCCAGAGAUGGAUUGGUGCCUUCGGGAACUGUGAGACGGGUGCUGCAUGGCUGUCGUCAGCUCGUGUUGUGAAAUGUUGGGUUAAGUCCCGCAACGAGCGCAACCCUUAUCUUUUGUUGCCAGCGGUCCGGCCGGGAACUCAAAGGAGACUGCCAGUGAUAAACUGGAGGAAGGUGGGGAUGACGUCAAGUCAUCAUGGCCCUUACGACCAGGGCUACACACGUGCUACAAUGGCGCAUACAAAGAGAAGCGACCUCGCGAGAGCAAGCGAACCUCAUAAAGUGCGUCGUAGUCCGGAUUGGAGUCUGCAACUCGACUCCAUGAAGUCGGAAUCGCUAGUAAUCGUGGAUCAGAAUGCCACGGUGAAUACGUUCCCGGGCCUUGUACACACCGCCCGUCACACCAUGGGAGUGGGUUGCAAAAGAAGUAGGUAGCUUAACCUUCGGGAGGGCGCUUACCACUUUGUGAUUCAUGACUGGGGUGAAGUCGUAACAAGGUAACCGUAGGGGAACCUGCGGCUGGAUCACCUCC
rnacentral:rRNA from 1 species